CCUACGGGAGGCAGCAGUCGAGAAUCAUUCACAAUGGGGGAAACCCUGAUGGGGCGACGCCGCGUGGGGGAAUGAAGGUCUUCGGAUUGUAAACCCCUGUCAUGUGGGAGCAAAUUAAAAAGAUAGUACCACAAGAGGAAGAGACGGCUAACUCUGUGCCAGCAGCCGCGGUAAUACAGAGGUCUCAAGCGUUGUUCGGAAUCACGGGGCGUAAAGCGUGCGUAGGCUGUUUCGUAAGUCGUGUGUGAAAGGCGCGGGCUCAACCCGCGGACGGCACAUGAUACUGCGAGACUAGAGUAAGGGAGGGGGAACCGGAAUUCUCGGUGUAGCAGUGAAAUGCGUAGAUAUCGAGAGGAACACUCGUGGCGAAGGCGGGUUCCUGGACAUUAACUGACGCUGAGGCACGAAGGCCAGGGGAGCGAAAGGGAUUAGAUACCCUUGUAGUC
rnacentral:rRNA from 1 species